ACGGAAGGCAGCAGUGGGGAAUAUUGGACAAUGGGGGAAACCCUGAUCCAGCGACGCCGCGUGAGUGAAGAAGUAUUUCGGUAUGUAAAGCUCUAUCAGCAGGGAAGAUAAUGACGGUACCUGACUAAGAAGCUCCGGCUAAAUACGUGCCAGCAGCCGCGGUAAUACGUAUGGAGCAAGCGUUAUCCGGAUUUACUGGGUGUAAAGGGAGCGUAGGCGGAAGGCUAAGUCUGAUGUGAAAACCCAGGGCUCAACCUUGGGACUGCAUUGGAAACUGGUUUUCUAGAGUGUCGGAGGGGUAAGUGGAAUUCCUAGUGUAGCGGUGAAAUGCGUAGAUAUUAGGAGGAACACCAGUGGCGAAGGCGGCUUACUGGACGACAACUGACGCUGAGGCUCGAAAGCGUGGGGAGCAAACAGGAUUAGAUACCCUGGUA
rnacentral:rRNA from 1 species